AAUGAACGUUGGCGGCAUGGAUUAGGCAUGCAAGCCGAGCGAGAAGUGCAGCAAUACACGGAAAGCGGCGGAAGGGAGAGUAAUACGUGGGAAUCUGCCCUUAGACCUGGGAUAGCAGCGGGAAACUGCUGGUAAUACCAGAUAAUGUCUAUGGACCAAAGGUGUGAUUCCGUCUAGGGAUGAGCCCACGUCCUAUUAGCUAGUUGGUAGGGUAAUGGCCUACCAAGGCGAUGAUGGGUAGCGGGUGUGAGAGCAUGACCCGCCUCACUGGGACUGAGACACUGCCCAGACACCUACGGGUGGCUGCAGUCGAGAAUCUUCGGCAAUGGGCGCAAGCCUGACCGAGCGAUGCCGCGUGCGGGAUGAAGGCCUUCGGGUUGUAAACCGCUGUCGAGGGGGAGCAACUUCCAUAGAGUUAUCUUUAUGGAUUGAGUGAUCCCUGGAGGAAGGACGGGCUAAGUUCGUGCCAGCAGCCGCCGUAAGAC
rnacentral:rRNA from 1 species